AAAUCUUCAAGUGACUGGCGAAAGCGUGGAGCCUACCACGAGGGAGCUUGAGGAUAAAACAGGUAGGCAGCCGUUCGCCUGGGCUGAGGCA
rnacentral:ncRNA from 2 species